AUAUUUAGGAACCUGUUCUGGCUUUUGUUCCUUCAAGUUCUGAUGAGUCUGAAGGAGAACCACUCAGUGAGAGAGAGGAUGAUUUAAGAACCAAACGAAAGGGAAGGAAAAGAGGAAGUAAGAAAGUGAAAGGGCGCUGUUAUGACCAUGAAGAACAAGAAAGAAUUCUUGAAUAUAGAAAAGAACAAGAACGAAAAUCUAAGGAAAUAAUUGAAAGUCUUACAGUCACCGAAAGGAAAGAAUUUAGAUAUUGCUAGAAUUUUAUCAAAAAGGAAAGAGAAAAAGGAACAAGACCUGUGUCCAGUCCGGAGUGGUGCUCUUGUCACAGAUGCCCACAAUACGAGAGAGUGGAAGAUCGAGUUUGCUGUGAGAUGGUCCCAGAAUUAUGCUCAAGUCAAAGACCUGAGAUGACUCUAUUGAUGCUGGAUAGGAUGACCCUCUACAGUCAGCAGCAGUAUCGACAAGAUGUGUUUUCCUUUUAUGCAGAGACACUAGAAGAUGUCGAUAAAUCUUUCAGACAUGCUGCAUACAGACAAUUUACCAUCUUAAUGCAUGGGAAACUGACUGCUGGAGACAGAAGAACUGUCCCAGCAUGUUGUGUUAAAUUAAUAAGGGAGAAGUUUCUUAGUCUUUCAGGCCAGUAUACAGGCUUCAUACCAGGUGAAGGCCCAGUGUUCUAACAAUUUUGCAUAUUUAUGCCCCUUUUGAAGAAGAGGGGGUUUAUUGUUUUGCACAUGUCGGUCCGUCCACCAGAUGGUUUCCAGAUGAUAACUUAGGAACGUUAAGGCCUAGGAUCAUGAAACUUCAUAGGUACAUUGAUCAUUAUUGGUGAUCAUGACUGGCAAAUGACCCCUAUUGAUUUUCAGGUCACUAGGUCAAAGGUCAGUGACUAGAAACAGUAAAACGGUUUCCGGAUGAUUACUCAAGAAUGCUUACGCCUAGGAUCUUGAAACUUAAUAGGUAAAUUGAUCAUGACUGGCAGAUGACCUCUUUAGAUUUCCAGGUCACUAGGUCAAGGUCGCAAUGACUCGAAACAAUAAAAUGGUUUCCGGAUGAUAUCUCUAGAAUGCUUAUGCUUAGGAUCAUGCAACUUCAUAGGUACAUUGAUAAUGACUGUCAGAUGACCUCUUUAGAUUUUCAGGUCACUAGGUCAAGCUCACAGUGACUCGAAAUAGUAAAAUGGUUUCCUGAUGAUAACUCAAGAAUAAUAAGGCCUAGGAUCAUGAAACUUCAUGGGUACAUUGAUCAUGACUGACAGAUGACCCCUAUUAAUUUUCAGGUCACUAUGUCAAAGGUCAAGGUCACAGUGACAAAAAAACGUAUUCACAUAAUGGCUGCAACUACAACUGACAGCCCAUAUGGGGGGCAUGCAUGUUUUACAAACAGCCUAGUUGCUAUUCUUUUUCAUUAUCAGACAUAGAACUUUCUUAGUUUUGAUUAUUUUUUGUUCUGGCUCCUUUUUUGAAACAUUUUUAUUUAUGCAAAUCAUUUGAAUUAUGCUUAAUCAUUUGAAUUUUUCAGUUCUAUGCAUUUUGUUUUGAAAUACCAAUUUGUGUGAAAUGUGCUAGUUUAUUAUUAAAACUUGCACAGCAGUUUACAUUUGUAUGCUUACUUUGGUGUCAUUUGAAUGAAAUGCCAUGAGUACUCUGGAUUGUAAGAUGAAAGAAAUAAAAGAAGCAAUGACAUAUUUCUUAAGAAUACUAUGUAAAUAAACUAAUUGAAUAUCAAAAUUCAUUUCUUGUAUACUUAUUUUAUUUUCUUGUUUGAACUUAAUAGUUUGAUUUUUACACUUUUUAGCUCACCUGAGCACAAUGUGCUCAUGGUGAGCUUUUGUGAUCGCCUUUUGUCCAUCGUGCAGCGUCUACAUUUGCCUUGUUAAAACUCUACAGGCCACAUUUAUUGUCCAAUCUUCAUGAAAUUUGGUCAAAAGAUUGGUCUCAAUGAUAUUUUGGAGGAGUUCGAAAAUGGUAACGUUUGCUUAAAAAGACUGUUCAUAAAAAACAGUCAAUAGUGUAUUACCUGUUUGUAUUCUGAUUUUUUAUAUCUUUUGCUUGUAUUUAAUUUUAAGUUUGCAUUUUGA